rnacentral:rRNA from 1 species
UACGUAGGGGGCAAGCGUUGUCCGGAUUUAUUGGGCGUAAAGCGAGCGCAGGUGGUUUAUUAAGUCUGGUGUAAAAGGCAGUGGCUCAACCAUUGUAUGCAUUGGAAACUGGUAGACUUGAGUGCAGGAGAGGAGAGUGGAAUUCCAUGUGUAGCGGUGAAAUGCGUAGAUAUAUGGAGGAACACCGGUGGCGAAAGCGGCUCUCUGGCCUGUAACUGACACUGAGGCUCGAAAGCGUGGGGAGCAAACAGG